CUUACCCUUAUAGUCCACUAUUCUACGAACGCAAAUAAACCAUCCGAAACAGAAGAGGCACGACGUUUUCCGCCCAUAAAGAAACCACGAGCUGUUGGCGUACAGAACAUUAAAAAUAACGCAAGGUUUGCCGCUGCCACCGAAGAAACUAACGAAACUUGUUCUUCGACGCUUCACCUCGAAUUAUGGACGAUUCGAGCGAGAACGAUUGGAGCGUUCGCACAGCCAUUUAAUUUCAAAUGGAAAAACAAUAAAACGAUACACGAAAGAACAACAUACACUACUUAGAUAAACUCCGACGAAAGAACUGGCUGCUGGCAGGUAUUCCGGCGGCCGACAAAAUGGCGGGCGGCCAUUCCGCCGCGCGGUACGAGUUCACCUAUACAAAACUAGGAAAAUACCUCGGGUUGUCUUUCGGUAAGAGGAUCGUCGUGGUUAACGAUGUGCUUAGCUUACUGUUUAACGUGAAAAUUGACAAGUAAAACGCGCGGCCGACCGCUCCCUCGAAUUUAGUUCGACGAUCGGCACACGCGCGACGCAUUCUCCUUCGACGAUCGUAAACUACGUGUAAGUCUCUAGUUACUGUCUAGAAGAAACGAUCUUAUUUGUAAUCCGAUAACGAGAAAAGACGACGACGAGACACGGAGAGGAAAGAUAAGAGAAAAAGGGAGAGAUAAGAAGAAGAAGAAGAAGAAAAAAAGGAGAAGUAGAAAAAGUAUUCAUCGCGAACAACAGAGGGGCUCGUAACAAAACCGAUCUCCGGCGUGAAGAAGCUUCCGACUCUCGGGAGAAAUGAAGAGAUAGUGAGUUUCGAUCGUUUGGUAAAUCAGCAUCGUGUGUCUUUUACAUUUCGAUUUAUUUAAAACGUACGAAGGAGCUUUCUAUUGUCUUUCUGGUACAGGAACAUCGUUAAAUCGAGUCGCUAAACUCUAAUCGCUUCGAGCGGGUUCGUCUCCGCGGGGAAACAAAAAAAAAAGUGGGGAGUAUAUGAAAAAUAAAACAGAUCAAAUGUAUUCUUUAUCUUACAUUUAUAAUUACUGAACAACAUGUGCUUGUCAAUAAUUCUCUUCUUCGUUGCUGCGAUUCACGUCACUGAAGUUCGCGUACGAUCCAUCAGGCACGACGAACGAUCGUGCUCGUAGAGUCACUGAAACGUUAACAAUCGUAACGCGCGGCAUGGAUUAUCCUCGAAGAUCGAACUCGACUUCCGACGUUCCCCGGCAAGGAUUCUUUUCGUUACGAACACCUCGGUUGAGAGAUUCGGCCAGUCGCAUUUUCCGUUUGUACUGUUUACCCGCGAAAGAGCAAGAGAUUCACGACUGAACGUACGAAGAAAAAAGAAAAAGAAAUCAGAACGAAGGAAGGAAGAAACGGCGGUUGAUCGUUUCCGUGAAACGGGACGCGAGACGUGAAUUGACCAGCGCGCUGCGUUCGAAAUGACGAUAAUUCAUCUCGGUACACCAGACGUGCGCGUUAUUCGAUUGAAAUGACCGUUUCGAGCGUUUGAAUCGUCUCGUCUCUUCUCUGGUCUCUCUCUCUCUCUCUCUCUCUCUCUCACUCACUCUAGAUCUCUAGUCUUCCUUUUGUACUCGGUAGCUAUCCUUGGAGGCGAUUCUCGAAAUAA